CAAUCACUGACGACGAGUGCCUGUAAAACAAGCUAACAAACAACAAAUAAAUUGAGCAACACAAUGUCCCUAGUAAAAUAUAAAAAUAUGAAACAAACUAAUGGAGGGGGAGAAAGGGGCCAGAGCAAUAAACUGUGUUCAAGGGAGAGACAGGGAAUGGUUACAGACGGGACAGAAAGGACAUAUGGAGGGAAGAGAGAAAGGAGAGAGGGUGGCUAGCUGGUUGUUACAGUUUAGGGAGGUUAGGCUGCCUAAGUCAGUAGGUGUAUAGCAUGAGGGGUGUGUUGGACAGUAAAUUAGGGAGGUUAAACAACUGGAUUGACUAGUGUGUUAAAUAAAACAAAUAUACUCACCAAUAGUACACUUAUGAUGUUAAUGUAUCCACA
ensembl:lncRNA